ACGCUGGCGGCGUGCCUAAUACAUGCAAGUCGAACGAGAGCGACCGGUGCUUGCACUGGUCAAUCUAGCGGCGAACGGGUGAGUAACACGUGGGUAACCUGCCCAUCAGAGGGGGAUAACAUUCGGAAACGGAUGCUAAAACCGCAUAGGUCUUCGAACCGCAUGGUUUGAAGAGGAAAAGAGGCGCAAGCUUCUGCUGAUGCAUGGACCCGCGGUGCAUUAGCUAGUUGGUGAGGUAACGGCUCACCAAGGCCGUGAUGCAUAGCCGACCUGAGAGGGUGAUCGGCCACAUUGGGACUGAGACACGGCCCAAACUCCUACGGGAGGCAGCAGUAGGGAAUCUUCCGCAAUGGACGCAAGUCUGACGGAGCAACGCCGCGUGAGUGAAGAAGGUUUUCGGAUCGUAAAACUCUGUUGUUAGAGAAGAACAAGUGCUAGAGUAACUGUUAGCGCCUUGACGGUAUCUAACCAGAAAGCCACGGCUAACUACGUGCCAGCAGCCGCGGUAAUACGUAGGUGGCAAGCGUUGUCCGGAUUUAUUGGGCGUAAAGCGAGCGCAGGCGGUUCCUUAAGUCUGAUGUGAAAGCCCCCGGCUCAACCGGGGAGAGUCAUUGGAAACUGGGGAACUUGAGUGCAGAAGAGGAGAGUGGAAUUCCAUGUGUAGCGGUGAAAUGCGUAGAUAUAUGGAGGAACACCAGUGGCGAAGGCGACUCUCUGGUCUGUAACUGACGCUGAGGCUCGAAAGCGUGGGUAGCAAACAGGAUUAGAUACCCUGGUAGUCCACGCCGUAAACGAUGAGUGCUAAGUGUUGGAGGGUUUCCGCCCUUCAGUGCUGCAGUUAACGCAUUAAGCACUCCGCCUGGGGAGUACGACCGCAAGGUUGAAACUCAAAGGAAUUGACGGGGACCCGCA
rnacentral:rRNA from 1 species